rnacentral:rRNA from 1 species
UCUGGUGACGAUAGCGAAGAGGUCACACCCGUUCCCAUACCGAACACGGAAGUUAAGCUCUUCAGCGCCGAUGGUAGUCGGGGGUUUCCCCCUGUGAGAGUAGGACAUCGCCAGGC